rnacentral:rRNA from 1 species
UACGUAGGGGGCAAGCGUUAUCCGGAAUCACUGGGCGUAAAGGGUGCGUAGGCGGUCUUACAAGUCAGGGGUGAAAGGCUACGGCUCAACCGUAGUAAGCCUUUGAAACUGUAGGACUUGAGUGUGGGAGAGGAAAGUGGAAUUCCUAGUGUAGCGGUGAAAUGCGUAGAUAUUAGGAGGAACACCAGUGGCGAAGGCGACUUUCUGGACCAUAACUGACGCUGAGGCACGAAAGCGUGGGGAGCAAACAGG